rnacentral:misc_RNA from 1 species
GAUGAAGAACGUAGCGAAAUGCGAUACUUGGUGCGAAUUGCAGAAUCCCGUGAACCAUCGAGUCUUUGAACGCAAGUUGCGCCCGAAGCCAUCAGGUUGAGGGCACGUCUGCCUGGGCGUCACAUAUCGUUGCCCAAUGCCUAUUGCAGUGCAAUAGGAAUUUCUAGGGCGAAUGAUGGCUUCCCGUGAGCGUUGUUGCCUCGCGGUUGGUUGAAAAUCGAGUCCUUGGUAGGGUGUGCCAUGGUAGAUGGUGGUCGAGUUAGAACGAUACCGAUCAUGUGCAUGCUCCCCAAAAUAUGGCCUCUAUGACCCACACGCGUCUUUUGACGCUCAUGACGAGACCUCAGGUCAGGCGGGGCUACCCGCUGAAUUUAAGCAUAUCAAUAAGCGGAGGA